GAGUUUGAUCGUGGCUCAGAGCGAACGCUGGCGGCAGGCCUAACACAUGCAAGUCGAACGGAUCCCUCGGGAUUAGUGGCGGACGGGUGAGUAACACGUGGGGAACGUGCCUUUUGGUUCGGAACAACUCAGGGAAACUUGAGCUAAUACCGGAUGUGCCCUUCGGGGGAAAGAUUUAUCGCCAUUAGGGCGGCCCGCGUCUGAUUAGCUAGUUGGUGGGGUAAAGGCCUACCAAGGCUACGAUCAGUAGCUGGUCUGGAGAGGAUGAUCAGCCACAUUGGGACUGAGACACGGACCCAAACUCCGUACGGGAGGCAGCAGGUGGGGAAUCUUGCGCAAGUGGGACGAAAGCCUGACGCAGCCAUGCCGCGUGAAUGAUGAAGGUCUUAGGAUUAGUAAAAUUCUUCGACCGGGGACGAUAAUGACGGUACCCGGAGAAGAACGCCCGGCUAACUUCGUGCCAGCCGCCGCCGUAA
rnacentral:rRNA from 1 species